rnacentral:rRNA from 1 species
UACGAAGGGGGCUAGCGUUGCUCGGAAUGACUGGGCGUAAAGGGCGCGUAGGCGGCAGGGUAAGUUGGAUGUGAAAUCCUGGGGCUUAACCUCAGAAUUGCAUUCAAUACUGCCUUGCUAGAGAGCUGUAGAGGAGACUGGAAUUUACGGUGUAGCAGUGAAAUGCGUAGAUAUCGUAAGGAACGCCAGUGGCGAAAGCGAGUCUCUGGGCAGCAUCUGACGCUGAGGCACGAAGGCCAGGGGAGCAAACGGG